UACAGAGGGUGCGAGCGUUAAUCGGAAUUACUGGGCGUAAAGGGUGCGUAGGUGGUUUAGUAAGUUAGAUGUGAAAUUCCUGGGCUUAACCUGGGGACUGCGUCUGAUACUGCGAAGCUAGAGUACUGUAGAGGGAAGUGGAAUUUCCGGUGUAGCAGUGAAAUGCGUAGAUAUCGGAAGGAACAUCAGUGGCGAAGGCGACUUCCUGGACAGAUACUGACACUGAGGCACGAAAGCGUGGGGAGCAAAC
rnacentral:rRNA from 1 species